GCCACACUGGAUGGCGUGAGGCUGCCCCUCCUCAGCACCGCCCGCCGGACUCCGGACGGGCACAGCAAGGCCUCUUCAGAGCCAGGAACAGGAAGCAGUAAAUGCCCGACCGAGGACAAGCUGAGGGAGGGGUGGACAGUCUAGAUUUGGUGAUUUCAUUGCUGUGCAAACAUUACAGAGUUACUUACACAAACCCAGAUGGUGCAGCCUACUCCAAACCUAGGCUACAUGGACAGCUGAUUGCUCCCGGGCUGCAGAGCUGCACAGCAUGUGACUGUACUGAACACUGUAGGCAACUGUAACACAAUGACACAAACACACAGUAGGCCUACACAGGGUCAGGAUCAUCGAUAUCACUGCCGUCCACUCCACACCUCGUCCCUCCGGAAGGUCUUCAGGGCCGACAGCAGGCCUGGGGCUGCCGCCCUGUGACAGCAAUGCCUUCUGGAUGCUUCCUGGAGGACCUGCCCGGGGCUGUUUUACAUUUACUUUUUUUAUGUAAGU